GAUGACAAACAAAACCAGAUUUGAUUUUGCACCCCCCCCCUUCCUUUCGGUGGGGAAGAGGUGGGGGGUUACACAAAGGAGUGAAAGGAGCCUGGGUCUGUGUAUUGAGAAUUAAUGAAAUUAACGUAAUCCUUUCCAUUAGUGGGCUUUUUUGAAAGGCCCCAGAUUUAGGCUUGAUCUCUGCUGCACCGGCUAAUUGCCCAGGUUAAUCUUAUUAAUGCCAUUGUGCAGAAGUGGUUAGCAGCUCCUAGCCUCGUCUAUUAUGCACCUACUUUGCUCGUGUUAGUUCACAUUAGUGGGUGCGAUUUCCUCCGUCUGAAGCUCAGAUUCGUUAUUUAUGCUUCGAAUUGGUUAAGAAGCAAGUUUAAAAAAAAAAUAAUAAACUUCGGUAUAAGCAUGCAAUCCCCCCUCCCCCCAAGUGUUUCUGUUAGCUGGGUUUGAGUCCUGCGUCCCCCGGCUCGGAGAACUGAAGCGGCAUUGAGGAGUAUUCAGAUCCAGACAGCUAUCACUUUCUAUUUUUAAACAAGCCAGAAGGUGGAAAUGUUAAUGACCACUGCCAUCUCAAAUCCCCGGGUCUGAAUACUUCGUCUGUCACGACUGUCACUGGGAAUCCACAGGAGGUGAACUGAAUAAGAUUAGACUAUUUACCCCAUCAGCCCUCCAUCAAAGAAGGUAGGAAAUUGUACGCAUGAAAUGAAAAUAACCCAUUAAGGUCCGUUUACGAGGAACACAUUAUUUUGCCUCAACAAAAAAAAAUAUCUUCGUUAGCGCUUACUCGCACUUUUAUCCUUCCUUUCCUCGAAAUUCUGGGAUUUAUAACUGCAUCUGAGAACGAUCUCAACCAAAAACCUAUUUCUAGUAAAAGACUCGUAUGAACGUGGAGGAAAAAGAACCCCAGGACUUAAUUCUCACUUUAUUAAUACACCGCGAUGAGACAAAUUAUUAGCGUCGUUUGCUUUGCUUCAUUUAUUUCCUGAUCAAUUUCUUUCCGCCUUCGGUAUUUAGGAGCUGACCUUCGUGCGGAUUUUGCAAAUUUGAUGUAAAGUGAAACUAUUUGACGUGGAGUUUUCUUUUUUUUAUUUUUUUUUUCCUUUUUGUUAGUUUGGUGUGAA